rnacentral:rRNA from 1 species
UGCUCGUAAGAGUGAAAGGAGUAAUCCACCAAAGAGAAGCUCGCGGCUGAUUAGCUAGUUGGUAAGGUAAUGGCUUACCAAGGCGACGAUCAGUAGCUGGUUUGAGAGAACGAUCAGCCACACUGGAACUGAGACACGGUCCAGACUCCUACGGGAGGCAGCAGUGGGGAAUUUUCCGCAAUGGGCGAAAGCCUGACGGAGCAAUACCGCGUGAGGGAUGAAGGCCUUUGGGUUGUAAACCUCUUUUAUCAAGGAGGAAGUUCUGACGUGUACUUGAUGAAUAAGCAUCGGCUAACUCCGUGCCAGCAGCCGCGGUAAGACGGAGGAUGCAAGUGUUAUCCGGAAUCACUGGGCGUAAAGCGUCUGUAGGUGGUUUAAAAAGUCCACUGUUAAAGAUUGAAGCUUAACUUCAAAAAUGCCGUGGAAACUUUUAAACUUGAGUAUGAUAGGGGUAGAGGGAAUUCCAGUGGAGCGGUGAAAUGCGUAGAUAUUGGAAAGAACACAAUGGCGAAGGCACUCUACUGGGCCAUUACUGACACUGAGAGAA